rnacentral:rRNA from 1 species
CAGCCGUAAACAAUGUGCGUUAGGUGUGUCGGUAACCACGCGUUACUGAUGCGCCGAAGAGAAAUCGUGAAACGCACCACCUGGGAAGUACGGUCGCAAGGCUGAAACUUAAAGGAAUUGGCGGGGGGAGGCACCACAACAGGUGGAGCCUGCGGUUUAAUUUGGAUUCAACGCCGGACAUCUCACCGGAUAAGACAGCUGAAUGAUUGUCAAUCUGAAGGUUUUACAUGACUAGCUGAGAGGUGGUGCAUGGC